ensembl:lncRNA
UGUAGGAUGAUGAAUUUGUGUACCAGUUGAGUUUGAGAUAAAAGUAGAUAAAAACAUGUACUUUCUACUACUCGACUUUUUUUUUUCCCAUGAGGAUUUAUAGCUGGAAACAGGAAAUCAUUGGAAGACUUGAAUUUUCUUCCUCUUUUUGCUGUUCUUCCAGCUCCUUAAAUAUUUCCCAAGAGCUGAGGAUGAUUUUAGGUUUUCUCAACCUUACCCCUGCCAAAAUCCCCCACAAAUUCAUCUCUCCAGGAACAUGUGUACUUGUCCGAGUACUCACAGCAGCCAGAAGUGUACCUUUCAGCCUCCUAAAAUAAAAACUUUUGGGAAAAAUAUAGUUGUCCUCUCCUUUUGACAAGCAUGAACAUUGUCACCUUACGACUUGCUCAAAUAGCUCAGCAAAGAAACACUUUCGUGCAGGCUGGAAAAUCAAGGGAAUGCAAAAACACAGGCACUUCCUCUUCCCUUUGCUUGAGGCAUUCAACUGAGACUCUCUAGUUCAGGGAAACAGGGGCAUUUUUACUUGAGCACUAAACUCGAAGAAGUGUAUUAACCAUUCAAAUCAGUGUGUAUUAGCCAUUCGAAUCAAAAGUUGUUCUCUCAAUUGGUGGUAUUUCUAACAAUAACAUCCUUAGGCUCUUAAAUUUGGCGGUAGCAGAGAGCCAGCUGGUCCCAGUGUAAUACACUCCCAUCCCCAUCCACUGAGGAGUUUCUGAAUUUCAGCAGAGAUAUUCUUGAUUCAAUCAGUUUAAAAGCAUAUAAUGAUCCUGUAAUUAUAAUUUGUCAUUACCUUGUGUACUAAUGAUUAAAGCAAACAUUUAAUAACCAAAGGGCAGUAAAUAUAUUUUAGAUCUUGAGCCAUAAAAAGAUUCCCAUUAACAGAAUGUUUUUUGCACAAAUAAAUUAUUCAUUGACUGUAGCAGAGCUUGAGCCUGUCAUCAGCCUUAAGUGGAAAUUUUGAGAACACCAAUCAUAACAGACGCCAACACUAAGUUGGCUUGAGCCUUCAUCCUUCUUACAUGGAACCUGAACUUUUUUGGCUAUUUAUAAGAGCUUUAAUUCGGUUAAAUUCAAUGAAUAUUUAUGGCAUUUCUGCCAUAUGCAAUUUAGUGUUCUGGUGGUUGGAGGACUACAAUGAUGAGUAAGUCUUCAUUUUAGUCUUUAAGUUGUUUAUACACCUAAAAGAGGGACAAGAUUAGUAAAUACAUGACUUGGAUAUAAGAAGGCUUAAGUAGCAACCUCAGAAAUGUAUAAAUAAAAUUUGUUGCAAAUUCAGGGGAGAAAGAAAUCACAUGCAUUUUCUCAUGGGAACAGGGAGGGAAGAGUUUGGAGAUCAAGAAGUGUUCCCUGAGGAAGGCUUUUAAGAUGGGCAAGGUUUUGACAGAUGGAGAGAAUUAUAAUGACAUAGGCAAAAAGUUGGGAUGUAUAAUGUGGAUGUCAUUGGAAUGAAAAGUAACUUGGUGUGUUUGGAACACAACAUUGGUAAGUGAAGAGACAUGAAAGAAGAGGAAAGAGAGAUACCUAGAGAUUUAGAGAGUAUAGAAGGCUUUCAAUGAGUAAUUAGCACAUCAGUUUGGUAGACAUUAAGGAACCACUUUUGAGCUAAGGAAUGAUGUGAUUGGAUUAUAUUUUUGAAAUAUACCUCACCUCAUAGGUAAGACUUAGAAAACUUGGAGGUCAACAAGUUAAAGAGCCAUUGGAAUUGUCUCCAUGAGAGGUAAUAAAUUUCUGAACUAAGUUGGUGGUAAUAAGAAUACAAAGGAGGGCCCAGAUGGGAGAGAUGGUACAAUUAUUUGUCUAUAGGUUUCGCACAUGAUUGCCUACAUGACGGGUAGAAAAGAGGAAAGAGUUAAAAAUUCCAUUCAACAACUUUAGGCAGUUUUUGAAUCCAGUCAACAUCUGUGGAAAACCAGAGUCAUAUGCAAGACGUUGUACUCCGUGCUAGAGUUGUGUACUAAGGAAAAUGAGAAAGCUGCUGUCUCUGAAUGGCUGAAAAUUUGAUUGGGGAGAUAAAUGUACUCAACUAAAAUCCAAAGCAGAUCAUGAUUAGUAUGAUCACAGGAGAUAUGAGAGAGUGGUGCUUGUGUUAAUUUUGAUGCUGGAAAAGUGGAGAAACAUCUAGGGGAGAGGACACUUGGGCCUGGAAGAUCAGAUAGAGGAAUCCAAACUAUUUUAGGUCUCAGAAACAUAGUGGGAAAAACUAAGUGAGACAAGUAUCAAAGAAGCUGAGGGGGAAGAACCUUACAGACAGAGGAGCUCUUAUUGCCCCUGGUAUGUCAGAUUCUGAGCUGGGAGCUCUGUGUUUAAGGAGUGGUUCCACAGUGCUCACAGUACUGCUGAGCGGUAACAAUGUUAUCUAAGGAAGGGCCCCUGCAUUCAGCAAUUUCAGGAUUAGGAGUGGUUUUUUGAAGAGGUUUCAGUUGGAUAGAGAUUAGCCUGGUGGCUCAGAUGGUACAGAAUCCGCUUGCAAUGCAGGAUACCUGGGUUCAGUCUGUGGGUUGGGAAGAUCCCCUGGAGAAGGAAGUGGCUACCCACUCCAGUAUUCUUGCCUGGAGAAUUCCAUGGACAGAAGAGUCUGAUGCGCUACAUACAGUCCAUGGUCUCACAAAGAGUCGGACAUGACUGAGCGGCUAACUCAGUUGAGUAGGGAAGGAAAUAUUCUGAAGGUUAUUCCUAGUCUUGAAGCCCCAGUACUUUGGCCACCUGAUGGGAAGAGCUGACUCUGGAAAAGACUCUGAAGCUGGGAAAGAUUGAGGGCAAGAGGAGAAGGGAACAGCAGAGGAAGAGAUGGUUAGAUAGUAUCACUGACUCAAUGGACAUGAGUUUGAGCAAAUUCCAGGAGAAAGCAAAGGACAGGGAAGCCUGGCAUGCUGCUGUCCAUAGGGUCUCAAAGAGUUGGACAUGACUGAGCGACUGAACAUCAACAGCAAUCUUGAAGAUAGAAGUAAACUCUAGACUGAACUUUCCUCAGUGAUUUAUCCUUGACGGGCAAGAAUACUGGAGUGGGUUGCCAUCCCCUUCUCCAGGCGAUCUUCCCAACGCAGGGAUGAAACCUGGGUCUCCCACACUGCAGGCAGAUUGCUUACCAUCUGAGCCACCUACUCCUGAGAAGUCUUUGCUAAUUGUACAUUGCAAGCGUCUUGGAUUCCUAGAUGAUUUUCUCACAGGUCGGAGAUUUCAACACUGACUCCCAGCCUCCCUUGCUCACUUCCUUCUUCCCACCCCUUCCCUUUAAGCACCCAGCUGGUUAGGGUGCACGCAUUUGCCACACCCUUGGCUCAAGGUCAGGGAAGUCCUCGGGCUCUCCUUGGCGCUUUUCCCAAGUGGAAGGAGAUUUCGACAGAGAACAAUCCAGGGAAGUGCACGCUCACAGAGACACAUACGCACACACACCAGUUCUUUUCCUGUCCUUCAAGAUAUUCAUGUGCCAGUAAACAGACAAAACAUACCGUCACUUACAGGCAGGUUGUGUCACAUUCACCCUGAGAAAACAGGGCAGGAACGUAGUCAUCUAGCAGGAGGUAAUGGGGACAGCAUUUAGGAACAGUGAUAGAGAAAAAAUUAAAGGAGUAACACAUUACUAUAGAAUGUGAAGGGAUGACAUCGUGUCAAGGUUAUGUUUAGUGGAGUUUUAAAAAAUCAAUUAGUACAGUAAAUUGAACACAAUAAAAGAAUUUUCGCAGAGGCACUCAUAUUACUACAGAGGGGAAUUUUAAAUUGUAUCAGGUCAUCCUGUAAUUUGAGAGGAACGAAAGGAGAGAAUUUAAAAGGAGU